AGGCUGCAACUCGCCUGCAUGAAGUUGGAAUUGCUAGUAAUCGCGAAUCAGAAUGUCGCGGUGAAUACGUUCCCGGGCCUUGUACACACCGCCCGUCACACCAUGAGAGUCGAUAACACCCGAAGCCUGUGAGCUAACCGUAAGGAGGCAGCAGUCGAAAGUGGGGUUGAUGAUUGGGGUGAAGUCGUAACAAGGUAUC
rnacentral:rRNA from 1 species